rnacentral:rRNA from 1 species
UGGGGAAUUUUGGACAAUGGGCGCAAGCCUGAUCCAGCCAUGCCGCGUGUCUGAAGAAGGCCUUCGGGUUGUAAAGGACUUUUGUCAGGGAAGAAAAGGCUGUUGCUAAUAUCGACAGCUGAUGACGGUACCUGAAGAAUAAGCACCGGCUAACUACGUGCCAGCAGCCGCGGUAAUACGUAGGGUGCGAGCGUUAAUCGGAAUUACUGGGCGUAAAGCGAGCGCAGACGGUUACUUAAGCAGGAUGUGAAAUCCCCGGGCUCAACCUGGGAACUGCGUUCUGAACUGGGUGACUAGAGUGUGUCAGAGGGAGGUAGAAUUCCACGUGUAGCAGUGAAAUGCGUAGAGAUGUGGAGGAAUACCGAUGGCGAAGGCAGCCUCCUGGGAUAACACUGACGUUCAUGCUCGAAAGCGUGGGUAGCAAACAGGAUUAGAUACCCUGGUAGUCCACGCCCUAAACGAUGUCAAUUAGCUGUUGGGCAACUUGAUUGCUUAGUAGCGUAGCUAACGCGUGAAAUUGACCGCCUGGGGAGUACGGUCGCAAGAUU